rnacentral:rRNA from 1 species
UGGCCAUGUUGGUCUAACAGAUCCUCAUUUGCUGGAUAAUUGGCGAUGAUCUUUAUCGGUUGUCGUCAGUUGCCAGAACGUUUACUUUGAGAAAAUUAGAGUGCUAAAAGCAGGCUCACGCCUAUAUAUAUUGCAUGGAAUAAUGAAAUAAGAUCUCGAUUUUAUUUCGUUGGUUUUAGAAAUUGAGAUAAUGAUUAAUAGGAUCAGAGGGGGGCGUACGUACUGUGGUGUGAGAGGUGAAAUUCUUGGAUCGCCACAGGACGAACAGCAGCGAAGGCGUUCGCCAAGAAUGUUUUCAUUAAUCAAGAACGAAAGUUUGAGGUUCGAAGACGAUUAGAUACCGUCCUAGUUCAAACCAUAAACGUUGCCAACUGUCUUUUAGAUGCGGUUAUUUAUAUGACUCAUCUGGCGGAUCUCGAGAAAUCUAAGUUUUUAGGUUCCGGGGGAAGUAUGGUUGCAAAGCUGAAACUUAAAAGAAUUGACGGAAGGACACACAAGAAGUGGAGCCUGUGGCCUAAUUUGACUCAACACGGGAAACCUUACUCGGCCAGGACACUUUUAGGAUUGACAGAUUGAGAGCUCUUUCUUGAUUAGGUGGGUGGUGGUGCAUGGUCGUUCGUAGUUCGUGGAGCGAUUUGUCUGAUUAAUUUCGAUAACGAACGAGACUCCGGCUUACUAAAUAGUCUAAAGUUCGAAGGGACUUUUCAAGACUUCUUAGCAGGAUAAAUGG